UACGAAGGGGGCUAGCGUUGCUCGGAAUUACUGGGCGUAAAGGGCGCGUAGGCGGAUACUUAAGUCGGGGGUGAAAGCCCGGGGCUCAACCUCGGAAUUGCCUUCGAUACUGGGUAUCUUGAGUUCGGGAGAGGUGAGUGGAAUGCCGAGUGUAGAGGUGAAAUUCGUAGAUAUUCGGCGGAACACCUGUGGCGAAAGCGGCGCACUGGACCACAACUGACGCUGAGGCGCGAAAGCUAGGGGAGCAAACAGG
rnacentral:rRNA from 1 species